rnacentral:rRNA from 1 species
ACGUAGGGUGCGAGCGUUAAUCGGAAUUACUGGGCGUAAAGCGUGCGCAGGCGGUUCGCUAAGACAGGUGUGAAAUCCCCGGGCUUAACCUGGGAAUGGCGCUUGUGACUGGCGGGCUGGAGUACGGCAGAGGGGGUUGGAAUUCCCGGUGUAGCGGUGAAAUGCGUAGAGAUCUGGAGGAACACCGAUGGCGAAGGCAGAUCACUGGCCCGAUACUGCCGCUCAUGCUCGAAAGCGUGGGGAGCAAACAG